AUGUGGCCUCUGGUCGGUACCUCGUCUAACAGACGGGGUCCACGGCUUGAAGCCGCGCGGCCCACCCGGAGCGCAGGGCGCAGCGCCCUGCAGGGGCCAGCGCCCCGGGUCGCGGCCCCAGGUCUGCAGAGGCCGCUGCAGCCCCAGGCCCAGGUCUGCAGAGGCCGCUCCAGGCCGACCCCGGGUCGCAGCCCCAGGUCUGCAGAGGCCGCUGCAGCUCCAGGCCCAGGCCCGCAGAGCCCGCUCCAGGCCCGACCCUGGGUCGCUGCCCCAGGUCUGCAGAGGCCGCUCCAGGCCGACCCCGGGUCGCAGCCCCAGGUCUGCAGAGGCCGCUGCAGCUCCAGGCCCAGGCCCAGGCCCGCAGAGGCCGCUCCAGGCCCGACCCCAGGUCGCGGCCCCAGGUCUGCAGAGGCCGAUGCAGCCCCAGGCCCAGGUCUGCAGCGGUCGCUCCAGGCCCAGGCCCAGGUCUGCAGAGGCUGCUCCAGGCCCAACCUCAGGUCAUGGCCCCAGGUCUGCAGAGGCCGCUCCAGGCCCGACCCCGGGUCACGGCCCCAGGUCUGCAGAGGCCGCUGCAGCUCCAGGCCCAGGCCCAGGCCCAGGCCCAGGCCCAGGCCCGCAGAGCCCGCUCCAGGCCCGACCCAGGGUCGCGGCCCCAGGUCUGCAGAGGCCGCUCCAGGCCGACCCCGGGUCGCAGCCCCAGGUCUGCAGAGGCCAAUGCAGUCCCAGGCCCAGGUCUGCAGCGGUCGCUCCAGGCCCAGGCCCAGGUCUGCAGAGGCCGCUCCAGGCCCAACCUCAGGUCAUGGCCCCAGGUCUGCAGAGGCCGCUUCAGGCCUGACCCCGGGUCACGGCCCCAGGUCUGCAGAGGCCGCUGCAGCUCCAGGCCCGCAGAGGCCGCUCUGGGCCGCGAGGGCCGCCUUCCACCCUGACAGCGCCCGGGGCUGCGCGGGGCAGCGCCGACGGCUCCCCGGGGGCUCGGGCCGCGGGGAGGGAGUCCCCAGUCCCCCCCCGCCGCUCCUCGGGCUGCCGGCCGCCGGAGCUCGGGCGGGGGAGCGGACGGGAGCGGCACCGGUGACUCACCCCGCGCGGCCCGCGCCAGGCCUCGGCGCCCCCCCCGCGGGCCUGGGACCCGCGGCUCAGCGCCCCCCAGAGGCGGGAGAGCCCCUGCCCCGCCGGCCCCUCCUCGGGCUGCCCCCCGCCCCCCGCGGGCUCCUCCCCGGACUGCCUCCUCCUCCCCCCGCGGCCCCCCCUCCAGGAGUCUCCCCCACGAGCCCUCCCCCUCCCCCGGCUGCCCUCUCCCCCCGGCGGCCCCCUCCUCCCCCCGCGGCCCCCCUCCCCGAGCUGUACCCCCUUCCCCCGGCUGCCCCCCUUCUUCCCGGGCUGCCUCCUGCUCCCCCCGCGGCUCCCCCAUCCCCGGGCUGCCCCCUCCCCCGCGGGCCCCUUCCCGGGCGGACCCUCCCCGCGGGCCCUCCCCCUUCCCCCGGCUGCCCCCCCCGUUCCCGGGCUGCCUCCCGCUCCCCCCGCGGCCCCCCCUCCCCGGGACGAGGCCGGGGGCGCGCACAGACCUGA
rnacentral:lncRNA from 1 species